rnacentral:rRNA from 1 species
GGGGGAUAACAUUUGGAAACAGAUGCUAAUACCGCAUAAAUCCAAGAACCGCAUGGUUCUUGGCUGAAAGAUGGCGUAAGCUAUCGCUUUUGGAUGGACCCGCGGCGUAUUAGCUAGUUGGUGAGGUAACGGCUCACCAAGGCAAUGAUACGUAGCCGAACUGAGAGGUUGAUCGGCCACAUUGGGACUGAGACACGGCCCAAACUCCUACGGGAGGCAGCAGUAGGGAAUCUUCCACAAUGGACGCAAGUCUGAUGGAGCAACGCCGCGUGAGUGAAGAAGGCUUUCGGGUCGUAAAACUCUGUUGUUGGAGAAGAAUGGUCGGCAGAGUAACUGUUGUCGGCGUGACGGUAUCCAACCAGAAAGCCACGGCUAACUACGUGCCAGCAGCCGCGGUAAUACGUAGGUGGCAAGCGUUAUCCGGAUUUAUUGGGCGUAAAGCGAGCGCAGGCGGUUUUUUAAGUCUGAUGUGAAAGCCCUCGGCUUAACCGAGGAAGUGCAUCGGAAACUGGGAAACUUGAGUGCAGAAGAGGACAGUGGAACUCCAUGUGUAGCGGUGAAAUGCGUAGAUAUAUGGAAGAACACCAGUGGCGAAGGCGGCUGUCUGGUCUGUAACUGACGCUGAGGCUCGAAAGCAUGGGUAGCGAACAGGAUUAGAUACCCUGGUAGUCCAUGCCGUAAACGAUGAAUGCUAGGUGUUGGAGGGUUUCCGCCCUUCAGUGCCGCAGCUAACGCAUUAAGCAUUCCGCCUGGGGAGUACGACCGCAAGG